CAAUCCUUAGGAAUAGUGUGCUCAUGCUAGCAGGUGUUUUUUUUUCACAUAUUGAAGAGGGACAAUGUUGGGGAACAGAACCAGGUUACUAUUCCUUGGGUUACUCUCCUUUACCAUGGUUGCCGAUCCUUCCCACCGCCUUCAAAGAUCUGUAUCCGUCUUCUACCUUCCGGAUCUUUCCCCUUGCGUCCUUAUCUUCGAAUUUUCAGAUGAGCAUCCAAACCUUCCGUUCUCUUUCUUCCUUCGGAGGUGCUAGAGAAGGUUUCGUCUGGUGCGUCUUCUUCAACCUCCUGACCCCAACCCUCCACGAUUAGGGGCAGUGGUUCGGUUUAGAAUCUAUAUGGUCGGUUUAUUCCACUCCCCUAAGUCGAUUUUCGGACUCCAUCACUGCCAUCAGCCACAGCCAUAGAUGGUUUAUUCCACUCCCCAAAGUCGAUUUUCGGACUCCAUCACCGCCAUCUUCUCAUCUUCGACACCGUCUUCAGGGAAGAGACGAAGGGGUAGACCUCCCGGUUGUGGAAAUAAAUAACAGCUUGAUGCUUCAUGUAGUUGUUGGUUCUGGCCUUUUUCCUUCUCUGUUAUCUCCAAAGAUUUUUUUCCUCGAGCUUUAGAGCAAAAGCAAUUGCCUUAUCACCUAAAAUGCAUUGGGUAAGUUUAUGUCAUUUUUAUUCUUUAGAAAUAUGAUCAUUUUUACUAACAAAUGGUGAUAUUUUUAAUGAUCAGAUAUCAAACAUUGUAGUCGGGUUGUAUUUCUUGAGUGUGGUGACUAAAUUUGGGAUAAGAAAAGUGUACAUGGGAUAUGUGAGACUCAUAAGAGGAUAUGAAUUAGAUUUUAUUAACUUCUAUUUGCUGAAACAUAUUGUCUACUUUGUUUUCUGCUUAAUAAGCUUGAAAUUUUGGCAUUGCAGUUCACCUCCAAUGUUGUCAUACUAAAAAUUAUAAUGUUUAUGAUAUGUUACCAUAUCGGCUACAGAACCCAAUUUCAUGAGGCAUUGAUUCAUCUAUUUUCUUCUCCUAUACUCCUAAUUUCACCAGGUUUGUCACAAAAAACUACUGGAAAUUGUCACCAUUGGAAGUAUCUAUUUGUCAGUCCUUAUUAUUUAGUAUUUAAUUUAAUUUUUAUGUUAUUUAUGAAUUAAGAUUAUACAAUUAUAAUUGUUUAAAAAAAAGAAUAGAUAAUUUGUUUCAUUUUUGUAUGGAGUUUUUUUUUCAGAUCUUCAUCUUAUAAAACAGCCGCUAUAUGGUUCUUCAACGUAUGAGAACCCCAAGAUUGUUCUAUAAAACAAUUUAAUAAUCGUUAUUUUCUUUUUCUCUUCAUUACUAGCAAGGAAAGGACAUACUUUGCAGCCAUUAUGACAAAGAUUGUUCUAUAAACAGUUGCUUAACCUUCUUUGAAGGUCACCAAACGGAUAAAGAUAUGAUUCGUUUGAACUUUCAGGACAGAAGCAGCAACAAACAUUCCAAGCCAAAGAAGGUUGAAGGCAUGAACAGAAAUAAGAUUUUAGUUAUCCCUUAAGUUGUGAAAUGCAUUACUAAUAUCGGACACUUUUCCAAACCUACACCAUCUCCCUCUUCUAUCUCUUUUGUUUUUUUUGUUUUUUUUUUUUUUUUUAAUCUUUUUGGUUAUUUGUUUCUCAUAUUCCCUGCCCUAAUCUUGCAAUUUUAUAAAAAUUGAUAGCCCUCUUGCGGUACAAAUAUGCCAAAAUACACGUCAAAUCGACCAGGUAAAUCCCACUGACACCGACUUCCAAAAUUGCAGCUUUAGGUUAGACUUCCAAACCAGAGGUGACAUACUAUUAUUUUUAUGUCAUUAUUUUGCUUUAUCUGUAACAUUUUUCAGAUGUAUUUUGAAGCACCCUACAAAUAUGGCUACUCCAUUCAACACAACAGUUGUGGAAAGGUUUUUUUUUUUACUCUAGGACUACGAAUCGCUAGACUUUCAACAAUUGAUUCGACACAACGAUAGUAUCAAGGGAUAGAAAAAGGACAAGCAGGUCGCAGGAUGGAGAUAUUAUAAAUAUUAAUGUCACCGUUUACUUAGAUGUUACUGAACAAUGCUUAGAGAGAGGUAUUUCUGUUUGCAAAGAUGUUUCUAUAUUGAUGACACGUGUGCGGUAUGUUUUUUCUUAUGUAAUAUGUAAAAUGGCAAAGGAAGUUGGUAACCACCGCAUAUACUCUUUUUUGGGUUAAAAACUUCAUGAUUUCAUAGUUUUUGACCAAACUGCCAUUGCAUACAGCUUCUUUGGUAAAAGUUACUGACUUGAAGAGUUUUUAACGAAAAUUUCCCGUGUAUACAGUUUAACUAUAGUACCUGAAUUUGAAAAUCUUAAACAAAUUUAAUAGAAUUACAUUAGAAUAACCUUAAUAAAAUAUUAGAUGUUACUUUUAGGCAAAGUAUGACAAGUUUUUGUUGACUUUCAAUCCAUACAUAUCUAACAGUGGCUCACUUUCAAUUCUUUUUUAGAUUUAGGUUUUUUUUUUUUCAAAUUUAGGUGGCAACAAGAGUAUAUAGCAGCAAAUUUUCUAUUUGAACUUUUUUUUUUUGUUUUUUGCGAUUUGUUUUCAUUUCCUUUUCCAAAAACCAAAAUACAUUGCCAUUUGGUCAAUUUCCCAUUUUUAAUUGACAGCUACACUAAAUAGCAACAUACUUUGAAUUUACACAUUUAUUUGGUUUAUGCAAUUUGUUUUCAUUUUUUUUACCAAAAAGAAAAAUAUAUUCCUAUUUGAUACAAAUUUAACCAUCAUUAUCAGCUAAUCAAUAUGUAUUUUAAUAGUUGAUUAAAUAGAACUUUAUUUUUUUAUAUUUUUUUUUGUUUGGUAAUUCAUUGAAAUAUAAUGUUUGCAGUUGCUAUUACAACAGAUUUCGCCACAUGGGCAACAACAGAUAUUGUUCGAUGCCUAAUCUUCAACUAAGAAUCAGGGCUUAUGGAUCUAAGAAAGCCGACAAUUGAACUUAUUAACAUACUGUAACACACUAAUCAACAAAUUGAUUUUUUUUGUUUGCUGUGGUGACUUUGCUUUUAUUAGAUACGUGUGUUGUCAUUUUAUCAAAUGUUUUUUGAGCUAGCCAAUGUUAUACUUAGACAACACUUAAUGAGGAAAAAACCAUGAAGUAUUUGAUUUGUGGAA